rnacentral:tRNA from 1 species
GCCAAUCUAGCUUAAUGGAAGAGUACUUGACUUGUAAUCAAGGGGUACAGGUUCGACUCCUGUGUUUGGCA